UGAUCAGUGAUGGCUCCAUAUUGAAAUUCCUUGGAAAACUAAACAAAAUGAAUGGGAAAUUCCAUUAAAUUUUUGAUAUUAAAAAUCUAGUUCC